AGAGUUUGAUCAUGGCUCAGAACGUACGCUGGCGGCACGCCUAACACAUGCAAGUCGAACGAAGUAGCAAUACUUAGUGGCAGACGGGUGAGUAACAUGUAGGUAUCUGCCCUUUGGCCUGGAAUAACACGAGGAAACUUGUGCUAAUACUGGAUAAGUCUUUACGGAGAAAGCUUUAUGCACCAUUGGAUGAGCCUGCACUUGAUUAGUUUGUUGGUGGGGUAAUGGCCUACCAAGACUGUGAUCAAUAGCUGAUUUGAGAGGAUGAUCAGCCACAUUGGGACUGAGACACGGCCCAAACUCCUACGGGAGGCAGCAGUGGGGAAUCUUGCACAAUGGAGGAAACUCUGAUGCAGCGAUGCCGCGUGAGUGAAGAAGGCCUUUGGGUUGUAAAGCUCUUUCGUCGGGGAAGAAAAUGACUGUACCCGAAUAAGAAGGUCCGGCUAACUUCGUGCCAGCAGCCGCGGUAAUACGAAGGGACCUAGCGUAGUUCGGAAUUACUGGGCUUAAAGAGUUCGUAGGUGGUUGAAAAAGUUGGUGGUGAAAUCCCAGAGCUUAACUCUGGAACUGCCAUCAAAACUUUUCAGCUAGAGUAUGAUAGAGGAAAGCAGAAUUUCUAGUGUAGAGGUGAAAUUCGUAGAUAUUAGAAAGAAUACCAAUUGCGAAGGCAGCUUUCUGGAUCAUUACUGACACUGAGGAACGAAAGCAUGGGUAGCGAAGAGGAUUAGAUACCCUCGUAGUCCAUGCCGUAAACGAUGUGUGUUAGACGUUGGAAAUUUAUUUUCAGUGUCGCAGCGAAAGCGAUAAACACACCGCCUGGGGAGUACGACCGCAAGGUUAAAACUCAAAUGAAUUGACGGGGACCCGCACAAGUAGUGGAGCAUGUGGUUUAAUUCGAAGAUACGCGCAGAACCUUACCAACACUUGACAUGUUCGUCGCGACUUUAAGAGAUUAAAGUUUUCGGUUCGGCCGGACGAAACACAGGUGCUGCAUGGCUGUCGUCAGCUCGUGUCGUGAGAUGUUGGGUUAAGUCCCGCAACGAGCGCAACCCUCACUUUUAGUUGCCAUCAUUUAGUUGGGCACUCUGAAAGAACUGCCAGUGAUAAGCUGGAGGAAGGUGGGGAUGACGUCAAGUCCUCAUGGCCCUUACGUGUUGGGCUACACACGUGCUACAAUGGUAUCUACAACAGGAAGCAAAACCGCGAGGUUAAGCAAAUCCUUAAAAGAUACCUCAGUUCGGAUUGCACUCUGCAACUCGAGUGCAUGAAGCUGGAAUUACUAGUAAUCGUGGAUCAGCGUGCCACGGUGAAUGCGUUCCCGGGUCUUGUACACACCGCCCGUCACACCAUGGGAGUUGGUUCUACCUUAAGGCAAGGUUUUAAACCCUUGACCACGGUAUAGUCAGCGACUGGGGUGAAGUCGUAACAAGGUAACCGUA
rnacentral:rRNA from 1 species